rnacentral:lncRNA from 1 species
UCAAUAUCUCAUAAAUAAGCAUUGGUAAAUAACUCAUACAUAAGUGUACUCUAAAUCUAAACUAAAAUACUAAUUGAAAAACUUGGUCAUCAACUGUUUACGCUAAUGUUGAGCCUAACUAAAUAUAUAUGAAUUCAAGUCUCCACACAUGUGUGGCCAUCAAAAUUUGAGUUUCAUUCCAUCUUUUCCUGUACAACAAAUAGAAGAAGGCAAUAAUUAGUAGUUAGACACAUUUGAAUACCUCGUAUUGUGGCAUCUAACAAAGGUCACAUGGAUGUGUAAAAAAAGGAUAGAAUAAUGCUACAUUUUGCAUCUGUCAAAAGAACUUACCUUUUCUAGAACUUUGCUGGAAGCAGGCGUGCUGACAAUUAAUGUGACAAUCAUUUUUUGUCACAUUUGAGCAAAACUUGCAUUUGGGUCAAGUAUAUUUAACAGACCAAGAAAUAGUAUCUGAAGAAGCAUUCGACACACUUCCAUCCUAUUAAAAAUAACCAAGGAAUUAGUCAGUAUUGAUGUCGACAUGUGGUACAUGAUCUUGUACUAUUGAAGAUACCAAUAUAUUGUAUGUUUUCCACAAAACUGAUCUUUAACCUAAAAAUUAUAUCAAAGACACCCAUCUAUUAUCGACGAAUUCAAAAUAAUGCACAGAAAAACUGCUAAUCAGCAAGUGAGAAACAAGUGCACGUCAAUCUCAGCAAAGGAGAUCACCUUAAAAGUAACAAGAACCAAAUAGGUAAAAGAUAUUAUAGCAACUCUAAGUUGGAUCUAUCUCUCAAAUGACACAUGUUAAUUUUGUCAUUCCUAAAAUCAAGUCAUAGACAUCAAAUUUACAAUAAACAAAAUUUAUGGUACUUUAAUUUUUAGCUUCUUCUAUUUUGCUUGCUACCAUCCUAUACCUUACUCACACAUAGUGAGAUUUUUCCUGCAAUAAGUGUUUUCACCACUUAACGUACUAUACUACUAUAGCAUGUACUGUUUGUUACUAUGCAAACCUGCAAAGGCGUCAUCAGUUAAUGAUAAUUAGGUAGUAGUACUAUAUAAAACAUGUCAAAGCUAGAAGACAUGUUUUCUAUUUUUUCCUACCGCCGACACCGUUUAGUGCUAGUUUGGGAGCCACAAAACCGAAGAGUAUUGAAGGGGCUAAAUUCGCUUCUUAUUCAAUUUUGAAUAAGAAGAAGAUUUUAGCCCCUCCAAUCCCCUCCGAUUUUGUAGUUCCCAAACUAGCCCUGGGGCAAAGUUUUUUUUUCUUUUGUGAUCCUAAAGGGCAGCAAGCUUGUAGAUUUUUUUUACAAUCACCCAUUGAACACAGUUAUAUUACUAUUGCUAUUAUCAUUGAUGUUACAGGUUGGUAACCUUGUGUCACUGUUAUAGAUCUUCUGUGCUAAGACGUUUUGAUUCUAUUUCAAGAUACAACAAUUGGCAUAAGUAUAUUGUAAACUCAGAGGUUGGAAGUUGGAUGUUAGGGCCUAAGUAGGCCCACGGAGGGGCUGCGGCAGCAGCCACCAUGGGCCCUCCAAGGGAGAUUAGAUAAGGAUAGUUAGAGAUAAGAUUAGAAGAUUAGUUGAGAUUAUUUAGGAGAUUAGUUGAGAUUAUCUAGGAAGGUUAUAAGUUAGUUUGUUGAGAGAUUUUAGGAGAGUUUUAAGGAGAUAAGGAUAAAUAGCUAGAUAGGGGCGGCCAGUCGGCCUAUUUAUGUAAUCAAUGGAUGAGACAUAAAGCAGGCAAGAAUUAGAAGGGAGAAACCCUCCUCUUGCUCGGCCAUGGGCAGAGGCCCCCGGCCGACGUUUCCUGCCCAUCGAUACCCCUCUCCAAUCCCUCACCAAUCUAGCGACCAUAACAUCUGGUAUCGGCUAGCUUGGAUUUCGAUCUGAUCCCAUGGCUUCUGUUGCCAAUUUCGCAGCGUCAUCCUGGCAACCGGCAUCCCCAUCUCCAUGGACUGCGCCGCAUCUCACCUUCGUCACGCCGUCCUGGCAACCGACGUCCCCAUCUCCAUGGGCUGCGUUGUAUGCCACCUUCGUCACGCCAUCCUGGCAACCGGCGUCCCCAUCUCUAUGGGCAGCAUCGUCUACCAAUUUUGUCACCACAUCCUGGACACUGGCGUGCCCAUCUCCAGGGACAACGCCAAAUUUCGUCACAUCAUCUUCGUUGACGGCGUCUCCAUCCCCAUGGGCGACGCCACUAGGGGCAACCACGGCUCAGCAAUCACCAGCUCCAUCGAUGGGGGGCUUAUGGACCAACAUAAGGGCUGAUCUCGCAAAUAUGCAAGCCACGCUACAGAAGGUUGAGCAAGGGCUGGUGCAAAUCAAGAUAGCAGUGCCACAUGAGCAGCACCAGCUGGCGUUGUCCGCACGGCUCCAGACGUCGGCGGCUGUGGGCAUACAAGUUGCUGCUCGUGGCUUCCUUGCACAACGUAGAGUGUAGGAGAUGCGUCGGCAGAUGCUCGAGGCAGCCUUGGUGACGGUUGACCUCAGCACACGGGGGCGCGACCUCGCCCUGUCGGACGACCAUCAGCAGCGGCACCGGGCCGCUAUCUCAAAAUGCGAGCAUGGUACGUGUCCCGCGGGCGACGAACUUCAACUCUACGGCAGUAGCGGUAAGGAAGGCACUCCCCUCGUCAUCGGCAAGGGCGCACUAUUUAGCGUCACCACAUUCCGCUACCGGCCGCCACGAGGGCGCCUCCGCUGGUUAUUGUUGCUACCUAUUUCAGGUGCCUGUCCAUAUGCUCCCUUUCGUUUAGAUGGUGUCCAUGGGAUCUAGGUGGCUGCACACGUGCAAGUCCAAUACGCGGAGGGUGUCCACCUUAUCUUAUAGGGUCAAAAAAUCAUAUUUGGAAUAAUAAGAUAAGUCGAGAUGUAAAAGGCUUGUCUUCUAGGUGUCUGGUUUUGGGUCAAGUAGACUCGGUCUUUGAGUACCCGUCAUGUUGCAGCUCGAGGACGAGCUACUUGUCCAGGAGGGGUGUAGUGUCAGGGCCUAAAGAGGCCAAAGGAGGGGCUACGGCAGCAGCAACCAUGGGCCCUCCAAAGGGAUUAGAUAAGGAUAAUUAGAGAUAAGUGUCAGGGCCUAAAGAGGCCCACGGAGGGGCUGCGGCAGCAGCAACCAUGGGCCCUCCAAAGGGAUUAGAUGAUAAUUAGAGAUAAGUUUAGAAGAUUAGUUGAGAUUAUCUAGUAGAUUGGUUGAGAUUAUCUUGGAAGAUUAUCAAUUAGUAGUUUGUUGAGAGUUUUUAGGAGAUUUUUAAGGAGAUAAGGAUAAAUAGCUAGAAAGGGGCAGCUAGCCGGUCUAUUUAUGUAAUCAAUGGAUGAGAAUUAAAGCAGGCAAGAAUUAGAAGGGAGAAACCCUCCUCUUGCUCGGCCAUGGGCAGAGGCCCCCGGCCGGUGUUCCUACCUAUUGAUACCCCUCUCCAAUCCCUCAUCGAUCUAGCGAGCAUAACAACUGGUAUCAGAUAGCUUGGGUUUCGAUCUGAUCCCAUGGCUUCUGCUGCCAAUUUCGCGGCGUCAUCCAGGCGAUCGAUGUCCCCAUCUCCAUGGACUGUGCCUCAUGUCACCUUCGUCAUGCUGUCCUGGCAACCGACGUCCCCAUCUCCAUGGGCUGCGCCGCAUGCCACCUUCGUCACACCAUCCUGGCAACAGGCAUCCCUAUCUCCAUGGGCAGCAUCGCCUGCCAAUUUUGACACCACAUCCUGGACGCCGGCGUGCCCAUCCCUAGGGACAAUGCCAAAUUUCGUCACAUCAUCUUUGUUGACGACGUCUCCGUCCCCAUGGGCGACACCACUAGGGGCUACCAUGGCUCAGCAAUCACCAGCUCCAUUGAUGGGAGACUUGUGGACCAACAUAAGGGCUGAUCUCGCAAAGAUGUAAGCCAUGCUCCAGAAGGUUGAGCAAGGGCUGCUACAAAUCAAGGCAGCAGUGCAACAUGAGCAGCACCAGCUGGCGUUGUCCGCAUGGCUCAAGACGUCGGCGGCUGUGGGCAUACAAGCUGCUGCUUGUGGCUUCCUUGCAUGACAGAGAGUGCGAGAGAUGCACCGACAGAUGCUCAAGGCAGCCUUGGUGACGGUUGACCUCGGCACACGGGGGCGCGACCUUGCCCUGUCGGACGGCCAUCAGCAGCGGCACCAGGCCGCUAUCUCUAAGUGCGAGCAUGGUACGUGUCCUACGGGCAACGAACUUCAACUCUACGGCAAUGAUGGUAGGGAAGGCACUCCUCUCGUCAUCGGCAAGGGCACACUAUUUAGCGCCACCACAUUCUGCUACCGGCCGCCACGAGGGCGCCUCCGCUGGUUAUUGUUACGACCUACUCCAGGUGCCCAUCCAUGUGCUCCCCUUUCAUCCAGAUGGCGUCCAUGGGAUCUAGGUGGCUGCACACGUGCAAGUCCAAUGCGCGGAGGGUGUCCACCUUAUCUUAUAGGGUCAAAAAAAAUCAGAUUUGGAAUAAUAAGAUAAGUCGAGAUGUAAAAGGCUUAUCUUCUAGGUGUCUGGUUUUGGGUCAAGUAGACUCGGUCUUUGAGUACCCAUCAUAUUGCAGCUCGAGGACGAGCUGCUUGUCCAGGAGGGGUGUAGUGUCAGGGCCUAAAGAGGCCCACGGAGGGGCUGCGGCAGCAGCAACCAUGGGCCCUCCAAAGGGAUUAGAUAAGGAUAAUUAGAGAUAAGAUUAGAAGAUUAGUUGAGAUUAUCUAGUAGAUUGGUUGAGAUUAUCUAGGAAGAUUAUCAAUUAGUAGUUUGUUGAGAGUUUUUAGGAGAGUUUUAAGGAGAUAAGGAUAAAUAGCUAGAUAGGGGCGGCCAGCCGGCCUAUUUAUGUAAUCAAUGGAUGAGACAUAUAGCAGGCAAGAAUUAGAAGGGAGAAACCCUCCUCUUGCUCGGCCAUGAGCAGAGGCCCCGACCGAUGUUUCCUGCCCAUCGAUACCCCUCUCCAAUCCCUCACCGAUCUAGUGACCAUAACAUCUGGUAUCGGCUAGCUUGGGUUUCGAUCUGAUCCCAUGGCUUCUGUUGCCAAUUUCGCGGCAUCAUCAUGGCAACCGGCAUCCCCAUCUCCAUGGACUGUGCUGCAUCUCACCUUCGUCACGCCGUCCUGGCAACCGACGUCCCCAUCUCCAUGGGCUGCGUUGUAUGCCACCUUCGUCAUGCCAUCCUGGCAACCGACGUCCCCAUCUCUAUGGGCAGCAUCGUCUACCAAUUUUGUCACCACAUCCUAGACACCGGCGUGCCCAUCUCCAGGGACAACGCCAAAUUUCGUCACAUCAUCUUCGUUGACGACGUCUCCAUCCCAAUGGGCGACGCCACUAGGGGCAACCACGACUCAGCAAUCACCAGCUCCAUCGAUGGGGGACUUGUGGACCAACAUAAGGGCUGAUCUCGCAAAGAUGCAAGCCACGCUACAGAAGGUUGAGCAAGGGCUGCUGCAAAUCAAGGUAGCAGUGCAACAUGAGUAGCACCAGCUGGCGUUGUCCGCACGGCUCUAGACGUCGGCGGCUGUGGGCAUACAAGCUGCUGCUCGUGGCUUCCUUGCACAACAUAGAGUGCGAGAGACGCGUCGGCAGAUGCUCGAGGCAGCCUUAGUGACGGUUGACCUCAGCACACGGGGGUGCGACCUCGCCCUGUCGGACAACCAUCAGCAACGGCACCGGGCCGCUAUCUCUAAGUGCGAGCAUGGUACGUGUCCCGCGGACGGUGAACUUCAACUCUACGGUAGCAGCGGUAAGGAAGGCACUCCCCUCGUCAUCGGCAAGAGCGCAUUAUUUAGCGUCACCACAUUCCGCUACCAGCCGCCACGAGGGCGCCUCCGCUGGUUAUUGUUGCGACCUAUUUCAGGUGCCUGUCCAUAUGCUCCCCUUUCGUUUAGAUGGCGUCCAUGGGAUCCAGGUGGCUACACACGUGCAAGUCCAAUGCGCGGAGGGUGUCCGCCUUAUCUUAUGGGGUCAAAAAAAAUUCAGAUUCAGAAUAAUAAGAUAAGCCGAGAUGUAAAAGGCUUAUCUUCUAGGUGUCUAGUUUUGAGUCAAGUACACUCGAUCUUUGAGCACCCAUCAUGCUGGAGCUCGAGGAUGAGCUGCUUGUCCAGGAGGGGUGUAGUGUCAGGGCCUAAGGAGGCCCAUGGAGGGGCUGCGGUAGCAGCCACCAUGGGCCCUCCAAGGGAGAUUAGAUAAGGAUAGUUAGAGAUAAGAUUAGAAGAUUAGUUGAGAUUAUUUAGGAGAUUAGUUGAGAUUAUCUAGGAAGGUUAUCAGUUAGUUUGUUGAGAGUUUUCAGGAGAGUUUUAAAGAGAUAAUGAUCUCUAGCUAGAUAGGGGCGGCCAACUGGCCUAUUUAUGUAUUCAAUGGAUGAGAAAUAAAGUAGGCAAGAACUAGAAGGGAGAAUCCCUCCUCUUGCUCGGCCGUGGGCAGAGGCCCCCGGCCGACGUUCCUACCCAUCGAUACCCCUCUUUAAUCCCUCACCGAUCUAGCGACCAUAUCAUUGGAACUAUAUAAACUAAUCUGAUGCUCUAUUAAAAAAUCGAGAUGGUAAUUGUAGACCAGAAUUAGCACCAAUCAAAGAAGAGAGGGGCAGAUAGCAUGCUCCUCACCUGAAUAAUCCGAAAGGGAGGACGAGCUCUUGGUGACCAUGAUUGUAUAAACUAAUCUGAUGCUCAAUUCAUAAAAAAAUUCGAGAUGAUAAUUGUAGACCAGAAUUAGCACCAAUCAAAGAAGAGAGGAGCAGAUAGCAUGCUCCUCACCUGAGUAAUCCGAAAGGGAGGAUGAGUUCUUGGUGAUGAGGACAUGGAGCUCCUCGAAAGGGGCAAGCCAACAUGGUUGCGCUUGCGGCCUGGAACAGCUCUGCAGCAUUGGAAGCGAUAGGAGAGGGCAUCACAGCUGGGAUGGCCGUAAAGGGAGGGCACCAACCGCCAGAGCCUCAUGCGCUGAAUUAGCAUGUCGUCGACCUCCAUGGCAGCAGGAACUCAGAUCGUAACCCCCAUAGCCUCAACCGCUGAAUUAGUGUAUCCUCGACCUCCAUAGCACCAGGAACUCAGAUCCGAGAUGAUGUAACCCUAGGAUUUCCUUUUCUAUCUGUGCGGGGGGGAGCCACGUCGAGGCGGCGGUCGCAUCGGCGUUUUGGAGCGGAGCGCCUGGGGGGCCAGGGGAGAGGGGGAUGCAGACUUCAUGAAGAUUCAUGGUAAAUGGAGACGCAGGCUACUGGGAGGACGUACGGAAACAUGCGGG